rnacentral:autocatalytically_spliced_intron from 3 species
AGAGUGAUCUCUAAAAAAAAUCUUGCUGUAUCGGUGAAACCUAAAGUAGUAAAAUACAAUGGUAAUACCGAGGGAACCCCAAAUUCUUUGGGGACUCCGUAGAGACUACACGCGAGCA